GUACUUGCUUCAGUAGCACAUAUAAUAAAAUUGGAAUGAUACAGAGAAGAUUAGCAAAGCACCUGUGCAAAGAUGACAUGAAAAUUCAUGAAGUAUUCCAUAUUAAA
ensembl:snRNA U6 U6 spliceosomal RNA